rnacentral:tRNA from 1 species
GCUUUCAUCGCUCAGUUGGUUAGAUCACCUGUUUAGUAAACCGGAGGUCUUGAGUUGGCUUUUUCAAUGAAAGCA